CGAGUGGCGAACGGGUGAGUAACGCGUGAGGAACCUGCCUCAAAGAGGGGGACAACAGUUGGAAACGACUGCUAAUACCGCAUAAGCCCACGGGUCGGCAUCGACCAGAGGGAAAAGGAGCAAUCCGCUUUGAGAUGGCCUCGCGUCCGAUUAGCUAGUUGGUGAGGUAACGGCCCACCAAGGCAACGAUCGGUAGCCGGACUGAGAGGUUGAACGGCCACAUUGGGACUGAGACACGGCCCAGACUCCUACGGGAGGCAGCAUG
rnacentral:rRNA from 1 species